GAACGAGAAAGUGGAGCAAUCCAUGAGUACAGUGGCGUACGGGUGAGUAACACGUGACUAACCUACCCUCGAGUGGGGAAUAACCUCGGGAAACCGGGGCUAAUACCGCAUAACAUCUACGGAUCAAAUGCGCAAGCAGCUUGAGGAGGGGGUCGCGGCCGAUUAGCUAGUUGGUGAGGUAAUGGCUCACCAAGGCAAUGAUCGGUAGCCGGCCUGAGAGGGCGCACGGCCACACUGGAACUGAAACACGGUCCAGACUCCUACGGGAGGCAGCAGUGGGGAAUUUUGCGCAAUGGGGGAAACCCUGACGCAGCAACGCCGCGUGGAGGAUGAAGCCCCUUGGAGUGUAAACUCCUUUCGACCGGGACGAUGAUGACGGUACCGGUGGAAGAAGCACCGGCUAACUCUGUG
rnacentral:rRNA from 1 species